AGGACGAACGCUGGCGGCGUGCUUAACACAUGCAAGUCGAACGGAAAGGCCCUUCGGGGUACUCGAGUGGCGAACGGGUGAGUAACACGUGAGCAAUCUGCCCCUAGCUCUGGGAUAGCUCCGGGAAACCGGGAUUAAUACCAGAUAUUACUACGGCCGACAUCAGCUGUGGUGGAAAGAAUUUCGGCUAGGGAUGAGCUCGCGGCCUAUCAGCUUGUUGGUGGGGUAAAGGCCCACCAAGGCGACGACGGGUAGCCGGCCUGAGAGGGCGACCGGCCACACUGGGACUGAGACACGGCCCAGACUCCUACGGGAGGCAGCAGUGGGGAAUAUUGCGCAAUGGGCGAAAGCCUGACGCAGCGACGCCGCGUGCGGGAUGAAGGCCUUCGGGUUGUAAACCGCUUUCAGCAGGGACGAAGCGAAAGUGACGGUACCUGCAGAAGAAGCGCCGGCUAACUACGUGCCAGCAGCCGCGGUAA
rnacentral:rRNA from 1 species